rnacentral:rRNA from 1 species
GGCGCACGGGUGCGUAACGCGUGGGAACCUGCCCUUAGGUUCGGAAUAACUCAGAGAAAUUUGAGCUAAUACCGGAUAAUGUCUUCGGACCAAAGAUUUAUCGCCUUUGGAUGGGCCCGCGUAGGAUUAGAUAGUUGGUGGGGUAAUGGCCUACCAAGUCGACGAUCCUUAGCUGGUCUGAGAGGAUGAUCAGCCACACUGGGACUGAGACACGGCCCAGACUCCUACGGGAGGCAGCAGUGGGGAAUAUUGGACAAUGGGCGAAAGCCUGAUCCAGCAAUGCCGCGUGAGUGAUGAAGGCCUUAGGGUUGUAAAGCUCUUUUACCA